rnacentral:rRNA from 1 species
CUUGACCCAAAUUACGUGCCAGCAGUCGCGGUAAUACGUAGAAGACUAGUGUUAUUCAUGUUUAAUCGGUUUAAAGGGUACCUAGACGGUAAAUCAAGCCUAAAAUUAAAUGAAAGGACUAAUUUACUAGAGUUACUUAUGAGGGGGUAUUAAAGUACUGCUGGUGUAGAGAUGAAAUUCUGUCAUACCUCUUUUCAAUAGAAAAACAAUGGCACAGGUAUAGGCGAAAGCAUCCCCUUAUGUGAUAACUGACGUUGAGGGACGAAGGCUUUGUGUAGCGAACAGGAUUAGAUACCCCAGUAGUCAAAGCAGAAAAUGAUGAAUGUCAUAGAUUAGAUAAAUAAGUUUAUUCUAUAAAUGAAAGUGUAAGCAUUCCACCUCAAGAGUAAUUUGGCAACAUUGGAACUGAAAUCAUUAGACCGUUUCUGAAACCAGUAGUGAAGUAUGUUGUUUAAUUUGAUGAUCCGCAAAAAACCUUACCACAAUUUGAAUAUUUAUAUUUUUUAUUGUUUUCUUUUUAAUUUUCUUCUGAUUUGAUUUUUCUAAAGAAAAAAAGAAAAAGAGGCGAUAUGAUAUAUUACAAGCUUGCACGGCCGUCUUCAGUUAAUGUCGCGAGACUUGGGNNAGUUCC